CAGCAGCCGCGGUAAUACGGAGGGGGCUAGCGUUGUUCGGAAUUACUGGGCGUAAAGCGCACGUAGGCGGCUUGGUAAGUUAGAGGUGAAAGCCCGGAGCUCAACUCCGGAAUUGCCUUUAAGACUGCCGAGCUAGCAGGUGAGAGAGGUAAGUGGAAUUCCGAGUGUAGAGGUGAAAUUCGUAGAUAUUCGGAAGAACACCAGUGGCGAAGGCGGCUUACUGGCUCAUACUGGACGCUGAGGUGCGAAAGCGUGGGGAGCAAACAGGAUUAGAUACCCCUGUAGUCCCUGUCUCUUAUAC
rnacentral:rRNA from 1 species